AGCAAUAGACUGACUGCCUAUUCCUGUGAAUCGACAAGUGAUCUCUGGCUGCAGCUCCGAAGAAACAAGGACGGCUGCUGCUUGCCUCUUCCUUUUCAUGCUACCAAAGAGGAGUUCAGCACAACAGAAACAGAUGGACAGAAAGUUUCAGAAGACAUGGGAUUUUAAAAACCACCGAUCUGUUAGGAAACAGCCUUGUUUCCUCAUUUCCACAGAAGUAAGGGUUUAUUGGAAUCUACGGACACCACAGAAAACCACCACUCCUGGUACUGCUGCCCUCUGUCUGUGUCCAAAGAAAUGGAUUUCAGGUCCUUCUUCCAUUUGAUAAAGGAGACAUACUCAGCUACUCAUA